UACGUAGGGUGCGAGCGUUGUCCGGAAUUAUUGGGCGUAAAGCGCACGUAGGCGGUCUGUUAUGUCGGAUGUGAAAGCCCUUGGCUUAACUGAGGAAGUGCAUCCGAAACUGGCAGGCUAGAGUACUAAAGAGGGUCGCGGAAUUCCCGGUGUAGAGGUGAAAUUCGUAGAUAUCGGGAGGAACACCGGUGGCGAAGGCGGCCCGCUGGGCAGGAAGACACCGCAAGGUGUCGGCUGACGCUGAGGCGCGACAGCGUGGGGGAGCAAACAGGG
rnacentral:rRNA from 1 species